GAUAAUUCUAUGAGAAAGAUAUGCUGCAUAAACAAUCAUUAGUUAGAGAGGGAUGGCUUGGUGAAACAUCUCAGUGAUUUUAUGUUUGUACCCCUUUCGAGAGAACAACUGAAAUGAGUAAGUUGUUUCGGCCCGCACCGUUACCGCGCUAGGAGAGUUUCCCUAUUUUAGGAAACAAAAUUUGGGUGGAACCACGUCUAACACUACGUCCCAUUU
rnacentral:ncRNA from 1 species